GAUGAACGCUAGCUACAGGCUUAACACAUGCAAGUCGAGGGGAAACGAUAUUGGAAGCUUGCUUCUGAUAGGCGUCGACCGGCGCACGGGUGAGUAACGCGUAUCCAACCUGCCCAUCACUUGGGGAUAACCUUGUGAAAGUAAGACUAAUACCCAAUGACGUCUCUAGAAGACAUCUGAAAGAGAUUAAAGAUUUAUCGGUGAUGGAUGGGGAUGCGUCUGAUUAGGUAGUAGGCGGGGUAACGGCCCACCUAGCCAACGAUGGAUAGGGGUUCUGAGAGGAAGGUCCCCCCACAUUGGAACUGAGACACGGUCCAAACUCCUACGGGAGGCAGCAGUGAGGAAUAUUGGUCAAUGGACGAGAGUCUGAACCAGCCAAGUAGCGUGAAGGAUGAAGGUCCUACGGAUUGUAAACUUCUUUUAUAAGGGAUAAACCCUCCACGUGUGGGAGCUUGUAUGUACCUAUGAAUAAGCAUCGGCUAACUCCGUGCCAGCA
rnacentral:rRNA from 1 species